rnacentral:rRNA from 1 species
AUUGAACGCUGGCGGCAGGCCUAACACAUGCAAGUCGAGAGGAGCGGCGGACGGGUGCGUAAUGCCUAGGAAUCUGCCUGGUAGUGGGGGAUAACGUCCGGGAACGUGCGCUAAUACCGCAUACUAUCAGAUGAGCCUAGGGCGGAUUAGCUAGUUGGGGGGGUAAAGGCCUACCAAGUCGACGAUCCGUAACUGGUCUGAGAGGAUGAGCAGUCACACUGGAACUGAGACACGGUCCAGACUCCUACGGGAGGCAGCAGUGGGGAAGAUGUGACAAUGGGCGAAAGCCUGAUCCAGCCAUGCCGCGUGUGUGAAGAAGGUCUUCGGAUUGUAAAGCACUUUAAGUUGGGAGGCGUUACCAACAGAAUAAGCACCGGCUAACGUCGUGCCAGCAGCCGCGGUAAUAC